AGAGGGUAAGUAAAGUUUCCAAGGUCACACAGCUCUUAAGUGUCAGAGCUACCCCUGGAACCAGGCCUGUCUGAUUUUAGAGCCCAGGCUCUAACCACUGGGUCACCUGAGCAGAAUGAACGCCCUCUCCACAGCUGAGCUCCAGACCAUUUCUAAGGUCAAGAGGCUCUGGGAUUUACGAAGGUCACUCCACAAGUGCACAGUUCAGCUGACAUGUAGUAUAUGCCCAGCAUGUCAGCUAUUAUUAUUAUUGUUAUUAUUAGCCAUGAGCAGGAAGCCGUUUGGGGGCCUCCUUCCCAACCCUGGAAAGGGGCCCAGUCUGUCUUUUCUAACUGACACCAGGAGCUUCCCGACCCUCUGCCAGCCUGCUGAGAGAAUCCUUCUGGAGCUGCGCGGAAGGAUGGAAGAUGAGGAAUUAAGGAGCCCUCCUCAUUGGUGCUGCCUGAACAGUGGAAUGGACUGCACUGGGUGAAACCCCGUGACAUCCACAGUAGAGAGAGGGCACAGCUCGCCAGCCCUGAAAGACCUUGCCACUGGCAGAUUGCACAGCCCAGGGUAAAUUGGAGACACAAGACUCGGCUCAGGGCCCUGCUUGAAUCCACCUGUUAGCUCCAGAAUUUGGGGCUGGAUGCUUAAAUCAGAUGAACAUGUUUCAUUCUCACAUGACACAAUAUUUCUUAUCAAAUCCACAGGGUGACGUUAAAAAAGGAAA